UACGUAGGGUGCAAGCGUUAAUCGGAAUUACUGGGCGUAAAGCGUGCGCAGGCGGUUUUGUAAGUCCGGUGUGAAAUCCCCGGGCUUAACCUGGGAACUGCAUUUGUGACUGCAAAGCUGGAGUGCGGCAGAGGGGGAUGGAAUUCCGCGUGUAGCAGUGAAAUGCGUAGAUAUGCGGAGGAACACCGAUGGCGAAGGCAAUCCCCUGGGCCUGCACUGACGCUCAUGCACGAAAGCGUGGGGAGCAAACAGG
rnacentral:rRNA from 1 species